UCGAGAAGGACCGCGACCGUGUAUUGGC
rnacentral:sRNA from 1 species